rnacentral:rRNA from 1 species
AGCUCUAAUAGUGUAUAUUAUUGAUGUUGCAGUUGAAAUGUUCGUAGUCGACCCUUAUCUGCUUGGGUGGUAGUCCCAUCGGGAACCUUCCACUUUCAGCGGAGAUUGUGCAAAUCGCUUCACAUGUUUCAUGUGUUGCCUUUGCAUCCUACUUUGAGUGAAUCGGCGUGUUCCACGCAGGCGAAUGCCUUGAACGAUUUACCAUAGUAUAGGCAGACUAUGUGAGCGUCUUCUUGUUUGUUCGGAGACGUUUAUCACAUCGAUAGGAACGGUUGAUGGCAUUUGUAUUCAGCUGCCAGAGGUGAAAUUCUUUGAUUAGCUGGGGACAAACUACUGCGAAAGCAUCUGCCAAGGACGUUUCCGUUG